rnacentral:lncRNA from 1 species
AAGCUCGAUCUAGAACCUUGUUAAGGUUCAGCUGUGAUAAAUGCACAUUUUUGCAUUUUCUUAACUGGUCUUUAGAUUUUGAUCAGGAGUUUUUGAUCAAAGAACAAUGGAUUCUUCUCUGGAAGACAAGAUCCCUUUUUAUUUUUUCUCUCAUAGCUCCACAAACAGAGACGUGUCCUAAAGUCCAGAAAAGGUUCUGCAGACGUGAACAAUGGCGUCUGUUGGUGCUGUGUACAGUCCUGUCAGCUGGGAUCAUCAUUCUAUCCUCAUUCACGUGGGUCAACAAUAACAAUCUGCAGAUGGAAGUCAAGGAGCAAAAGAAUCACUCUGAAGACAUGGUGGUUAACAUUAACAAUCUGCACAGAGAAGUGAAGGAGCUAAAGAUACACUUUGAAGAUCUUCUGUUGUCUUUGGAAAACAGACUGAAAACCAGAAACAAUCACCUGCAGACUGAACUUUCAGACAUGGCGGUCAACAUUAACAAUCUGCAGAGAGAAGUGAAGGAGCUAAAGAUACACUUUGAAGGUGAGAAAGAUUAA